UUAGUUAAAGCCAAAAAAGAGGCAUUUUAAUGUUAAUAAAAAAAUUGAAUCUAAAUUCUAACUAAA
rnacentral:tRNA from 1 species